AUUAGGCUAAGAUAAAUAAAUAGAAUCCCCCUGUCUUCAUCUUGUUUUUGUUUACUUGUAUUCAUUUAGACUCCAAAAUCGAAUAUAUUCAGCAGCUUCAUGGGCUUGGUUGGAAGGUAGGCCGCCGCGCCCAUUCACUGUUUCACAUUUUAGUUAAUAUUCGGACGGGCUUGAGGCACAGAAUGUUGCCCGAAGGCUGAGCAUGGCCAGACAGUCAAGUCGUUCUUGUCAUUGCUGGGGAUGGAGUUGAUCUAAAAGCUGUUGAAGCAGAAAUCAGUAAGCAGUGUGGAAACCUUCCAAGAGAAGAGUUUGCUUCAAAAUCCCUUAGCCACAGUUACACCGUGUUUGCUCGUGAUAUGCUGGAGUGGAAGGUCUGAAAAAGUUUGGUCCAUAUGUUGCAACGAUGGCGGAAGUGGAAGGCUUGGAAGCCCACAAGAGAGCGUUAACUCUUAGAUUGCAAGACAUUGGAGCCAGGCAAGUUGCAAAUAUAAGUUAGGCUCCUUUCGUUUGUAUUUGUUUUCUGAUUUUUUUUUUUCGAAAACAGCCUGUCAUGUUCUCUCACUUUGCAAAAUUUGUGUUAUUGCUAUUACUGUUGGAACUUUGUUUGUUGUAACAUGAUAUAGAUCUCAAAAUCUCAAUGCCUGAUCAAUACAAUCUUUUAGAGACGAGUUUAGUUA